UACAGAGGGGGCAAGCGUUGUUCGGAAUUACUGGGCGUAAAGGGCGCGUAGGCGGCCUGCUAAGUCGAACGUGAAAUCCCCAGGCUUAACCUGGGAACUGCGUCGGAUACUGGAUGGCUUGAAUUCGGGAGAGGGAUGCAGAAUUCCAGGUGUAGCGGUGAAAUGCGUAGAUAUCUGGAGGAAUACCGGUGGCGAAGGCGGCAUCCUGGACCGACAUUGACGCUGAUGAGCGAAAGCUAGGGGGAGCAAACGGG
rnacentral:rRNA from 1 species